AACGAACGCUGGCGGCAGGCCUAACACAUGCAAGUCGAACGCUGUAGCAAUACAGAGUGGCAGACGGGUGAGUAACGCGUGGGAACCUUCCCAGUGGUGCGGAAUAGCUCAGGGAAACUUGAGGUAAUACCGCAUAAGCCCCUAGGGGGAAAGAUUUAUCGCCAUUGGAUGGGCCCGCGUCGGAUUAGCUAGUUGGUGAGGUAAUGGCUCACCAAGGCAACGAUCCGUAGCUGGUUUGAGAGAAUGACCAGCCACACUGGGACUGAGACACGGCCCAGACUCCUACGGGAGGCAGCAGUGGGGAAUCUUGGACAAUGGGCGCAAGCCUGAUCCAGCCAUGCCGCGUGAGUGACGAAGGCCUUAGGGUUGUAAAGCUCUUUUGCCGGGGACGAUAAUGACGGUACCCGGAGAAUAAGUCCCGGCUAACUUCGUGCCAGCCGCCGCAGUAAAAC
rnacentral:rRNA from 1 species